UAAAGCUUUCUUGCUUCAGGUGCCUCAUCACUCUAUGGCCGAGUGGCGAGGUUAAACGGGAAGCCGGUUCGGCGUGAUAGCUGCAUUCAAAUUUGCCUUGAGUGCGGUCUCGCGAUGCCGGCGCUGCCCCCGCAACGGUAGGCGAGUCAAGCCGCGACAGCGUGCCACUAUGGCCGCGGUGCACUUUGCAUCCUUAAAUCAAGAUGCAGCGGGUACCAAGGGCCAUGGGAAGGCGUCUCGGCCGCUGGGUUUGGAUCAGGUCCGACCCCAGCGCUCGCAAGCCCGGAUACCGGCCUGCUCAAGUUUCAGGGU
rnacentral:ncRNA from 2 species